UAUACUAUCAGUGUAGUCUUCCUUGUAAUUUGGGGAAUUGGCCCCAGAGUAUCCACAAUCCGGCCGUAACCGGAUGUAUCCAGGGAAAGCAAAGGUUUGUUU
rnacentral:ncRNA from 21 species